rnacentral:rRNA from 2 species
GAAUUGACGGGGGCCCGCACAAGCGGUGGAGCAUGUGGUUUAAUUCGAUGCAACGCGAAGAACCUUACCUGGUCUUGACAUCCACGGAAGUUUUCAGAGAUGAGAAUGUGCCUUCGGGAACCGUGAGACAGGUGCUGCAUGGCUGUCGUCAGCUCGUGUUGUGAAAUGUUGGGUUAAGUCCCGCAACGAGCGCAACCCUUAUCCUUUGUUGCCAGCGGUCCGGCCGGGAACUCAAAGGAGACUGCCAGUGAUAAACUGGAGGAAGGUGGGGAUGACGUCAAGUCAUCAUGGCCCUUACGACCAGGGCUACACACGUGCUACAAUGGCGCAUACAAAGAGAAGCGACCUCGCGAGAGCAAGCGGACCUCAUAAAGUGCGUCGUAGUCCGGAUUGGAGUCUGCAACUCGACUCCAUGAAGUCGGAAUCGCUAGUAAUCGUGGAUCAGAAUGCCACGGUGAAUACGUUCCCGGGCCUUGUACACACCGCCCGUCAC